UACAGAGGGUGCAAGCGUUAAUCGGAAUUACUGGGCGUAAAGCGUGCGUAGUCGGUUAUCUAAGUCGGGUGUGAAAUCCCCGGGCUCAACCUGGGAAUUGCAUUCGAUACUGGAUAGCUAGAGUUCGGCAGAGGGAAGCGGAAUUUCUGGUGUAGCGGUGAAAUGCGUAGAUAUCAGAAGGAACAUCAGUGGCGAAAGCGGCUUCCUGGACCAGCCACCGACGUUCAGGCACGAAAGCGUGGGGAGCAAACAGG
rnacentral:rRNA from 1 species